GGCUUGAUGGUGUAAUGGUAACAUGUCCUCUCAAAUUAACACAUGGGAAAGGGUUUUGAGGAAGUCCCCUGUUCAAUUCAGGGUCAGGCCA